rnacentral:misc_RNA from 1 species
UGUCAAUCCAAUAUCAAAGUCCUUUUUAGAGUCUGACAAGAAAUUGGAAUCUGAAUUAAGAACACAAAAUUGUGAACCCUUCAUAGAAGAACCUGAAUCACCAAAGAUUGAGCAGGACAUUGAAGAGCUUGGAACUAGUAAAUAUAUCAUUGAUGAUGAAGAAGAGGAAAUCCCUACUAUCAAACUCAACAAUGAUUCUUUCAAGGAAAAUGUACAGCACUUUA